rnacentral:rRNA from 1 species
UACGAGGGGGGCAAGCGUUGUUCGGAAUUAUUGGGCGUAAAGGGCGCGUAGGCGGUGCGGUAAGUCACCUGUGAAACCUCUAGGCUUAACCUAGGGCCUGCAGGCGAAACUGCCGUGCUUGAGGGUGGGAGAGGUGCGUGGAAUUCCCGGUGUAGUGGUGGAAUGCGUAGAUAUCGGGAGGAACACCAGUGGCGAAGGCGGUUGCCUGGAGCUUUGCUGACGCUGAUGCGCGAAAGCGUGGGGAGCGAUCCGG